UCCUUCUUUUGCAUACAUUUUCUUACAAACAAAAUAGAGUACGUGUGUGAUCUUAUUACUAACUUUUGAGUUCGUCGAAGUUAUGGAUGUUUGAGAUGUUGCUGCUUCUUAAAUAGUUUAUCCAUUUUAUCUAGGGAGGAAAUAAUUCACAACCUCGAGUAUAAUGAGAGAAUUAAAUUCUUUAAGUACACGCAAGGAAUUUUGUAGACUCUGAUAGCU
rnacentral:lncRNA from 1 species